rnacentral:lncRNA from 1 species
AGAGAGCAGGAUAGUCAUCAAUGACUGAAGAUGCACAUCAAUUAUUAUCGAAAUUUUGUAUUCUAAAUUGGUCAAAAAGAUUAUUAUAAGGAAAUGUCCAAAAUAACUGACGGAUAAAUAUCAAUGAUUAAAUUAUUGAACAGAAAGGUUGAAAAACAGAAAUAGAUCAUGAGAAGCAUUUCUAUUGCCGAUAUAUAGUGUGUCGAUCUAGACUGAGCAAGAACUGAAUGAGUUGUCAAGAAUUUGGUUUUGUACAAAUAAACAAAUAACCAUAUUAAGCAAAGGAAAAAAUAUUAGAACGUGUGGAAUGCUGUUAAGGAUGUAAUGUAAACGAAUUCUGCAGGUAUUCAGUGAUUAUUAGCUUAAAGACGUGCAAGAUACAUAUAUCUACAAGAUUUGUUUAACACA